AGUCUUCCACUAGCAGCCUUUGGAUGAAGACAUAGAACUCUCAACUCUGCCUGCGCCAUGCCUGCCUGGAUACUGCCGUGCUAAUGGACUGAACCUCUGAACCUAUAAAGGGGACCAGGGCAGAGGCUGGCAGCACUGUCCACCUGGAGCUUAAAGUGGGGUAGUAGAAACUGCACACUAUACCUUCUGACAUAAGUACCAGGAGCUGAACUUGGAUCCUCUGGAAGAGCAGCAAGGGCUCUUAACCACAAGGCCAUUUGUCCAGAUCCCACUAUGCUGUGUUUUAUGUAAUGCUGGGGACCGAACCAGGGCACUGUGCAAACAAGCGCUGAAGACUAAGCCCUGGGAUUCACACCCUUAGGGUGAAUACUGCACCACACUAAAUCCUAUCCUCAGGCCUUUCAGUACCCAAGGUGGUUUGGAUGAGAAGGCUUCCAUAGACUCAUAUAUUUGAAUGCUUAGUCACUGGGAACUGCCACUAUUUGAAAGGAUUGGAAGAUAUGACAUUGUUAGAUGAAGUGGUGUCACCAAAGGGACAGAUCCAGCGAGAGGAUGGUCUGUGUUAUUCAACACUGUCCAGUGUUGCAGCACAUCUGGUGACCUUGGCCUUCACUGCCCUGAAACACGGACGCUGAGUCAGAAACAGGGAGUGUGGGAGAACUGGAACAGGAAACACCUCUCUCUCUCUCUCUCUCUCUCUCUCUCUCUCUCUCUCUCUCUCUCUCUGAAAGAGUGGAAGCUGAAGCAUGGUUCAAGCUCAGCCCAGAGGGCUGCUUCUAACUGCUUCCACUCUGGAUUCUUUCAUGUGUGUGUGUGUGUGUGUGUGUGUGUGUGUGUGUGUGAUGUGUAUGUGUGUGUCUCUAUGUGUGUGUGUCUGAGUGUUUGUGUGUCUCUAUGUGUGUGUCUCUAUGUGUAUGUGUAUGAUUGUGUGUCUGAGUGUGUGUGUGUGUGUGUGUGUGUGUGUAUGUGUGUGUGUGUGUUUUUUGCGGGCGAGGGGAAGAUGGCACACAUGCGGCAGGCAGAGGCUAACUCUCUGGAGUCUGUUUUCUCCUUCUACCUAACACGUGUUCUGGGAAUCAAACUUGGGCUGUCUGGCUUACCUUCACCUGCUGGCCAUCUACCGCAAACUGCCUCUCAGGACACCAGCAUGAUCUAGGUGGUCUCCUCUGCCCCAUCCCUCCAUCCUCUGCUCUCAGCUAUAACUGAAUCCCAGGUCUGGAACCAACACAUUCAGCAGCCUCAGCGCAUGUGUGGUAACAACGUCAAGGCAGACCACAGUCUGUGCUCUGGAGAGGAGGCAAGCCCACUCCAUGUGUCCUGGUUUCUCUUUUAACCUAGAAGCUCUUUCGCUUGCUGCUGUUACUCAUGCCUGUGGCCCAUUUUCCUGAUCAGUCUCUUUUCCUCUCUGCUCACACCUCCUCCCUCUGACUCUGUGAUAAAAGUGCUGAUCCAGUCAAUGCCGGAAAGCCAUCCCAGCUCCUCACAGUGCAAAAUUAGACAAAGGUUGGUCACCUGUAGGAAACUGCAGAUGGCAAUGGCUCAGCUUUACACCACAGGUAUGGGAGCAGAAUGGCAGCAUGAGCCUGUGGGGAGGACUUGCCCUGAGCUGCUGAGCCCUGGUGAGGUUUCACAGUAACAAUCUAGUUCCCAGCUUAGGAGGAGAUAAGCGUCCUCACUGGAGCCUGGCACUGACCAGUCACUGGACCAGAUUGUCAGGUUUUAGUGGCUUGGUCAUCUGGGGAGAGUGAGGGUCACAGGUCAGAGAGUCUAGGCAGGGUUUACCCUCAUCUCAGCUCUUACCCCACGAGGUCUCCAUACUCUGGAAUAUUGCAGCCUCCAUGGAGGACUGAGCCACAAAAAGGAAUUCUAAGUUGGGGACUGAGCUCAGUGAAAGGGGUUUGCCUAUUAUUGUCCACCAGGCCCAGGGUUCCAUCAACAGAACAACCAGAAAAUUAAAAAUAAAUAAACUCACACCCGCGGGACAUGUUCACGUGCUUCCCCCACCCCAUGUCCCAAUACCAGGAGCCCCAUCAAAACACAACUCUCAAUCUUUGUUGUUGUUGUUUUUGAGACAAGGUCUUAUUCUGGCUAGCCACACUGGCCUCACACAGAUCCACUUGCCUCUGCCUCCUGAGUGCCAGGAUCAAAGGUGUGUGCUGCUGCGAGUGGCCCAACCCUUGAUCUUUAAAACAAAGCUCAGGGUGAUGGACAGCCCUUAGGUAGCUAGGAGGUAGAGUCAGAUCAAAUACUGAUGGAGGUGGCUCUCUGAUGGCCUCCAUCUCCUCUUUCUU
rnacentral:lncRNA from 1 species